AGAAGCGAACCUGCGAAGGCAAGCGGAUCUCUUAAAGCCGUUCUCAGUUCGGACUGUAGGCUGCAACUCGCCUACACGAAGCUGGAGUUACUAGUAAUCGCAGAUCAGAAUGCUGCGGUGAAUGCGUUCCCGGGUCUUGUACACACCGCCCGUCACACCACGGAAGUUGGGGGCGCCCGAAGCCACUUAGCUAACCCUUUUGGGAAGCGAGUGUCGAAGGUGAAAUCAAUAACUGGGGUGAAGUCGUAACAAGGUACC
rnacentral:rRNA from 1 species